CGUUUACGGCGAUGUUCGAUUUAAUGUCGCGGUGACAGGAGAAUAAAUACCUUUGCUUUUUGUCCUUCGUCGGAAAGAUCACUUUCUCUUUAACCGAUGUGCUGGCGGAAGGCAAGACAGUCUUUAGUCCUAAAUUAUCAGUCUUUGGUCCAACACAACACUAUAACACUUUCACACAAAAUUAAUAAUUUCUUUCUUGAGACGAUCUUGGAGUUAACGUUUUCAGAUGUGUCGUCACCCGUUCGCUCGGAGCACGUAGCGGGAAUCGUCUCGAUUUCGGUCGUUGGCGAUUGGUCUCUUACUUCCCGU
rnacentral:lncRNA from 1 species